rnacentral:rRNA from 1 species
UACGGAGGGGGCUAGCGUUGUUCGGAAUUACUGGGCGUAAAGCGCGCGUAGGCGGACCCGCAAGUCGGGGGUGAAAGCCCGAGGCUCAACCUCGGAACUGCCUUCGAUACUGCGGGUCUCGAGUCCGGGAGAGGUGAGUGGAAUUCCUAGUGUAGAGGUGAAAUUCGUAGAUAUUAGGAAGAACACCAGUGGCGAAGGCGGCUCACUGGCCCGGUACUGACGCUGAGGCGCGAAAGCUAGGGGAGCAAACGGG